rnacentral:rRNA from 1 species
UACGGAGGGGGCAAGCGUUGUUCGGAUUUACUGGGCGUAAAGGGAGUGUAGGCGGCCGAUCAAGUCUGAUGUGAAAGCCUUACCGCUUACCGGAAGGAGGUCAUCAGAAACUGGUUGGCUAGAGUAAGGUAGAGGCGAGCGGAAUUCCUGGUGUAGCGGUGGAAUGUGUAGAUAUCAGGAAGAACAUCGGUGGCGAAGGUGG